CCAAGUGAUUCAAUUUAGAAUUGAAUUCAAUUUGGACCUCCAGAGUUCCAGACAAGCCAAAAUUCUACAUAAAUAAAUUUCAUAUGCCAUUUGUUUUGGUUGCUGAAAAAGUCAGGGACUGGGUCCAACCAGGCAAUGUAGUUCAAACCUAAGAUCUUCAUCUCUGCUCUUUUCAGUCAUUUAUUAAAGACAUAUUUCACGCACAUAAAGCCAUGUCAUGACUUAAAACAUUCCUCUUUCUAAAAAAUCACACUCAGAAACAUCUGUCUCCAACCAUUAUUAGAAUCCUUCCACUAUUUUACUCUCUAAUUCCUGUAAACUCAGAGUACAUUUUAGAGUCUCAUCGUCUGAAAUGUUUCAACCACUUUCUGGUCCAUGUGUCGUCUCCUGAGCAUCACUAGCUCCAGUCUUAGGCUAAAGCCCAGGGAUGUCAAUGAGUUAUUUUUCUUUUUCUUUUUCUUUUUUUUUUUUUGAAACUGAAUUUCGUUCUUGUCGCCCAGGCUGGAGUGCGAUGGCAUGAUCUCGGCUCACUGCAACCUCUGCCUCCUGUGUUCAAGCGAUUCUCCUGCCUCAGCCUCCCAAGUAGCUGGGAUUACAAAUGCAUGCCACCACGCCUGGCUAAUUUUUUGUAAUUUUAGUAGAGACAGGGUUUCAACACGUAAUCCCAGCAUGUUGCCAGAAGUCAGGGACCUAUGACUGUUCAGCAAGCUCCACCUCCCAGGUUCACACCAUUCUCCUGCCUCAGCCUCCCCAGUAGCUAGGACUACAGGCGCCCACCACCGCGCUCGGCUAAUUUUUUUGUAUUUUUAGUAAAGACGGC
rnacentral:lncRNA from 1 species